AGAAGCAGGUCUCCUGUCUGGAGACUACAAGUCCACAAUUGAUCCUAAAUGGGAAAAACAAUGAAGACACCCAUUGGAGCUUUAAUCACGUUCUUAUGGCUACAGCUGGACUGUGUCAGUCUUGGAAACAAGGUGGAGCAGAGUCCUUCUACCCUGAGUGUCCAGGAGGGAAGCACCCCUGUUAUCACCUGCACUUAUACAGACACUGCUUCAGAGUAUUUCCCUUGGUACAAGCAAGAACCUGGAAAAGGUCCCCAGCUCCUUGUAGCUAUUCGUUCAAAUAUGGGUGAAAAAAAAGACCAGAGACUGACUGUUUUAUUGAAUGAGACCGCCAAACAUCUCUCCCUGCACAUCGCAACCAUCCAGCCUGGAGACUCAGCUGUCUACUUCUGUGCAGCAAGGACACAGCGCUUCCCAGGCAGCCGCUACCUGUACUCAUACUUGUGACGGGCAGCCCCCUUCUCUGGUGCAACCUUCAAAGUAGCAUUUGUCAUACUGUUUGUCUGCAAGUGGAAACUGAUGUGUUAGACAAGCAUAGAAUAAGAAGGUUAGGUUUAAGAUGACCCAGAAAGUAUGACACAUUUUAUGGAUAAUUGCUGCUUACUGAUUUCUUGAAGGGAGUUAGCAUUGUUUUGUUUUGAAAUUGUAAUAUUGCCUUUACAUUUGCCACUCAGACUCAUUUUCUAUAAAUAACCUCUUGGUAUCAAUUGAUAAUCCUUGUUAUGAAUUUUUUUUAAU